rnacentral:rRNA from 1 species
GAUGAACGCUGGCGGCGUGCCUAAUACAUGCAAGUCGAGCGAACGGACGAGAAGCUUGCUUCUCUGAUGUUAGCGGCGGACGGGUGAGUAACACGUGGAUAACCUACCUAUAAGACUGGGAUAACUUCGGGAAACCGGAGCUAAUACCGGAUAAUAUUUUGAACCGCAUGGUUCAAAAGUGAAAGACGGUCUUGCUGUCACUUAUAGAUGGAUCCGCGCUGCAUUAGCUAGUUGGUAAGGUAACGGCUUACCAAGGCAACGAUGCAUAGCCGACCUGAGAGGGGGAUCGGCCACACUAGAACGGGGACAGGGUCCAGAGUCCUGAGGGAGGCAGCAGUAGGGAAUCUUCCGCAAUGGGCGGAAGCAUGGCGGAGCAAGGGCACGUGAGUGAUGAAGGUCUUCGGAUCGUAAAACUCUGUUACUAGGGGAGAACAUAUGUGUAAGUAACUGUGCACAUCUUGACGGUAACGAAUCAGAAAGCAACGGCUAACUACGUG